UACGUAGGGGGCAAGCGUUGUCCGGAUUUAUUGGGCGUAAAGAGCGUGUGGGCGGUUAGGUAGGUCCGUUGUGAAAACUCGAGGCUCAACCUCGAGACGCCGAUGGAAACCAUCUAACUAGAGUCCGGAAGAGGAGAGUGGAAUUCCUGGUGUAGCGGUGAAAUGCGCAGAUAUCAGGAAGAACACCCGUGGCUAAGGCGGCUCUCUAGUACGGUACUGACGCUGAGACGCGAAAGCGUGGGGAGCGAACAGG
rnacentral:rRNA from 1 species